CCACAGUGUGUUACUCCAUCUCAGCGCUCAGCAACAUCCUAUCGGCCCUUUCCAGCUGUUAAAAUGAAGUAUGUCGACCAUGACCAAUGGACACACCUGCUGCCUACUGUUCCAGAUGUAAGGAUGCAGGUUCGGGACCGGCGUCAUUGUAUACGUCAGCAUGCUGCCAAAGGACUGUUUGUUGACAUACAGCAACGAAUUCUCAGUGGGGGUAGGAUGGAACGCAUCUUUGACACAUACGUCCUAUGUUACCCUUCGGGCUACCGCCAGAACGUCAAGCCUGUCCAUGAGCCAGCACCCAAGUCUGUGGCUGAGAAGAAAUCUCUACACAUCAAAAAGCUAAGUGGUGCUGGUUCACGUCAUGUGGGUCGUAGGCCUCUGGUAGUAGUUGACAGGGUCAGAGAAGUUGUAGAACAGGAAGAUGUUAGGGACAAGGUAGUAAGGAGGAGAAAGAUGGGAAGCAUACACACCAGUGU